rnacentral:rRNA from 1 species
UACAGAGGGGGCAAGCGUUGUUCGGAAUUACUGGGCGUAAAGGGCGCGUAGGCGGCCUUCUAAGUCGAACGUGAAAUCCCCGGGCUCAACCCGGGAACUGCGUCCGAGACUGGGAGGCUAGAAUCCGGGAGAGGGAUGUGGAAUUCCAGGUGUAGCGGUGAAAUGCGUAGAUAUCUGGAGGAACAUCGGUGGCGAAGGCGGCAUCCUGGACCGGUAUUGACGCUGAGGCGCGAAAGCGUGGGGAGCGAACAGG